rnacentral:rRNA from 1 species
ACGCACGCUGGCGGCGUGCUUAACACCUUCCAGUCGCACGGAAAGGCCCUGCUUUUGUGGGGUGCUCGAGUGGCGAACGGGUGAGUAACACGUGAGUAACCUGCCCUUGACUUUGGGAUAACUUCAGGAAACUGGGGCUAAUACCGGAUAGGAGCUCCUGCUGCAUGGUGGGGGUUGGAAAGUUUCGGCGGUUGGGGAUGGACUCGCGGCUUAUCAGCUUGUUGGUGGGGUAGUGGCUUACCAAGGCUUUGACGGGUAGCCGGCCUGAGAGGGUGACCGGCCACAUUGGGACUGAGAUACGGCCCAGACUCCUACGGGAGGCAGCAGUGGGGAAUAUUGCACAAUGGGCGGAAGCCUGAUGCAGCAACGCCGCGUGCGGGAUGACGGCCUUCGGGUUGUAAACCGCUUUCGCCUGUGACGAAGCGUGAGUGACGGUAAUGGGUAAAGAAGCACCGGCUAACUACGUG